UACGUAGGGCGCGAGCGUUGUCCGGAAUUAUUGGGCGUAAAGAGCUCGUAGGCGGCUGGUCGCGUCUGCCGUGAAAGGCCUGGGCUUAACUUGGGUUUUGCGGUGGAUACGGGCCGGCUAGAGGUAGGUAGGGGAGAACGGAAUUCCUGGUGUAGCGGUGAAAUGCGCAGAUAUCAGGAGGAACACCGGUGGCGAAGGCGGUUCUCUGGGCCUAUCCUGACGCUGAGGAGCGAAAGCGUGGGGAGCGAACAGG
rnacentral:rRNA from 1 species